rnacentral:rRNA from 1 species
GGGCCGGUUGAUCCUAAAAGAGGCCAUUGCUAUCGGAAUCCGACUUCGCCAUGCGAGUUGUGGGUAUAACGUAGCAAAACGCUCAGUAACACGUGGCCAAACUGCCCUAUGGACUGGGAUAACCUCGGGAAAAUGAGGGUAAUCCCGGAUAGUACAUCCAACCUGGAAGUGGCGGAUGUGUGGGGAAAAGCUCCGGCGCCAUAGGAUGUGGCUGGGGCCGGUUAGGUAGAGACGGUGGGGGCCCACCGUGCCGAUAAUCGGUACGGGGCAUGGGAGUGAGAUCCCGGAGGCGGCAUCUCGGACACGAGUCCGGGCCCUACGGGGCGCAGCAGGCGCGAAACCUUUACACUGCACGCCAGUGCGAUAGGGGGGACACCCCGUGCGAGGGCAUAGAGCCCUCGCUUUUGUAGACCGUUAAGGGUCUACGAAUAAGGGCUGGGCAAAGACCGGUGCCAGCCGCCGCGGUAACACCGGCAGCCAAGUGAUGGCCGAUAUUAUUGGGCCUAAAGCGUCCGUAGCUGGCCGCGCAAGUUCGUCGGGAAAACCACUCGCUUAACGAGUGGGCGUCCGGCGAAAAAUGUGCGGGUUGGGGCCGGAAAAUCCAAGGGGGACGUCCGGGGUAGGAGUGAAAUCCCGUAAUCCUGGACGGACCACCGAUGGCGAAAACACCUUGGGGGGACGGAUCCGACAGUGAGGGACGAAAGCUAGGGUCUCGAACCCGAUUAGAUACCCGGGUAGUCCUAGCCGUAAACGUUGCCCGCUAGGUGGUGGCGCAGGGUUGAGCCUGCGCUGUGCCGUAGGGAAGGCCGUGAAGCGAGCCGCCUGGGAAGUACUCUGCAAGGAUGAAACUUAAAGGAAUUGGCGGGGGAGCACUACCCCCGGAGGAGCCUGCGGUUUUUUUGGACUAACGCCGGGCAUCUCCCCAGCUCCGACAACAGUAAUGACGAUCAGGUUGAUGAACCUUAUCCGACGCUGUUGAGAGGAGGUGCAUGGCCGCCGUCAGCUCGUACCGUGAGGGGUCCUGUUAAGUCAGGCAACGAGCGAGGCCCGCACCUCUAGUUGCCAGCAGCAUCUCGCGAUGGCUGGGUACACUAGGGGGGCUGCCGUCGCCAAGACGGAGGAAGGAACGGGCAACGGUAGGUGGGUAUGCCCCGAUUGAGCUGGGCUACACGCGGGGCUACAAUGGCCAAGACAGUGGGAGCGACACCGAGAGGUGAAGCUAAUCUCCUAAACUUGGUCGUAGUUCGGAUUGUGGGGUGAAAAACGCCCCCAUGAAACUGGAUUCGGUAGUAAUCGCGUGUCAGAAGCGCGCGGUGAAAACGUCCCUGCUUCCCUUUUGCAACCGCCCGUCAAAACACCCGAGUGGGGUCCGGAUGAGGCUAGGGGUAAGUCGGGAAAUCGGGGU